UCUUAAAAUAAAGUGGUGAUCCUAACUGACCUAAGUUGGGGAAGUUUUACCAGGAUUAAGUGUUAGGAAUUGUGUGAAACUGAGUUUAAAUGUAUUUGGCUAAGGUGUAUGUAAACUUCCGACUUCAACUGUAACUACUGUAGGAUAGAGACCACAUAACUACUGGAGCUACGGUAGAGACCACGUAACUGCUGGAGCUACGGUAGAGACCACAUAACUACUGGAGCUACGGUAGAGACCACGUAACUACUGGAGCUACGGUAGAGACCAUGUAACUGCUGGAGCUACGGUAGAGACCACAUAACUACUGGAGCUACGGUAGAGACCACGUAACUACUGAAGCUACGGUAGAGAACUACUGGAGCUACGGUAGAGACCACGUAACUACUGGAGCUACGGUAGAGACCACGUAACUACUGGAGCUACGGUAGAGACCACGUAACUGCUGGAGCUACGGUAGAGACCACGUAACUGCUGGAGCUACGGUAGAGACCACGUAACUACUGGAGCUGCGGUAGAGACCACGUAACUACUGGAGCUACGGUAGAGACCACGUAACUACUGGAGCUACGGUAGAGACCACGUAACUACUGGAGCUACGGUAGAGACCACGUAACUACUGGAGCUACGGUAGAGACCACGUAACUACUGGAGCUUCGGUAGAGACCACGUAACUACAGGAGCUACGGUAGAGACCACGUAACUACUGGAGCUACGGUAGAGACCACGUAACUACUGGAGCUACGAUAGAGACCACGUAACUACUGGAGCUACGGCAGAGACCACGUACAGAGGAUAGUGGGAAUGAAAACAGUACUUCUGGGUUUACAUGGUGGGACAGAUGACGUGAUGACAUGGGGAGAUUGACAUGCAUUAUUCACAAGAAAAUGUUCUGUCGUGUUCAAGGGACCUACACGGUGUGGGUUUUCGAGAUGUGCUGUCCUGCUACUUAUCAGUUGGUAUAUGCUGUAUAACUGGAAUGUAUCUAAUGGGGUGUGUAGGUGUUGGGUGUGUUCUCUGUGGACGGGGGCAAAGCCAAAGCCUCUCAGGAGGAUGCUGAGGAGACCAACUCGGUGGAGUCAGUGGGGUUCUGCAAUGUGUUGCCUCUGAUAGCGGUGGCGUAUCUGCAUGGGACCCUGGCUAUCUAUGACCUCUCCUCACAGGUCCUCAGACACAAGUGUCAGCACCAGGCUGGCAUUGUUAAACUGCAGUGGGAGGAGUCAUCCUCUGUGGUGUCCACCUGUAGUCUGGACGGGGCAGUGAGGCUGUGGGAUGCCCGCUCGGGGAACCAUGGUGUCAGAGUACCGUGGCCACCAGGCGGAGAUCCUCGACUUCACACUUAACAGAGAAGCCUCUAUGGCGGUCACUGCCUCUGGAGACCACCAGGCCAAAGUCUUCUGCCUCCAACGACCAGACCGUUAAUAAGAGGAGCAGAGGGAGAAAGAGCGAGAGAAAUGUGGAUGGACUCAACCCCGAUGGCGCUUUGUCGACAAUGCAC